GGAAGCGUGGCCGAGCGGUUGAAGGCAACAGUCUUGAAAACUGUCAUGGGGCGACCCAUCAAGAGUUCGAAUCUCUUCGCUUCCUCAA
rnacentral:tRNA from 1 species